rnacentral:rRNA from 1 species
UAGCCGUAAACGAUACUCGCUAGGUGUCGGCCACGGUGCGACCGUUGUCGGUGCCGUAGGGAAGCCGUGAAGCGAGCCACCUGGGAAGUACGGCCGCAAGGCUGAAACUUAAAGGAAUUGGCGGGGGAGCACAACAACGGGUGGAGCUUUGCGGUUUAAUUGGAUUCAACGCCGGAAAUCUUACCGGGACCGACAGCAACAUGAAGGCCAAGCUGAAGACUUUGCCGGAUUAGCUGAGAGGAGGUGCAUGGCGUAGUCGUGU